rnacentral:hammerhead_ribozyme from 1 species
GUCCAGCUGACGAGUCCCAAAUAGGACGAAACGUGCAUCAUGGAU